AGCAGCCGCGGUAAUUCCAGCUCCAAUAGCGUAUAUUAAAGUUGUUGCAGUUAAAAAGCUCGUAGUUGAAUUUCGGGGUCAGCAGGUUGGUCGUGCCUAUGGUAUGCACUGGCUUCGCUGAUCUCUCCUUUCUGAAGAACUGUAAUGCCAUUAAUUUGGUGUUGCGGGGACACAGGACUGUUACUUUGAAAAAAUUAGAGUGUUUAAAGCAGGCUCGCGCUUGAAUACAUUAGCAUGGAAUAAUGAAAUAGGACGUUGACCCUAUUUUGUUGGUUUCUAGGAUUGACGUAAUGAUUAAUAGGGAUAGUUGGGGGCAUUAGUAUUCAAUUGUCAGAGGUGAAAUUCUUGGAUUUAUUGAAGACUAACUACUGCGAAAGCAUUUGCCAAGGAUGUUUUCAUUAAUCAAGAACGAAAGUUAGGGGAUCGAAGACGAUCAGAUACCGUCGUAGUCUUAACCAUAAACUAUGCCGACUAGGGAUCGGAUGAUGUUAAUUUUUUAAUGACUCAUUCGGCGCCUUACG
rnacentral:rRNA from 1 species